rnacentral:sRNA from 1 species
AAACAAUAUCAAAAGGGAGAUAGGUCUUUUAUUCUGAUUUGUUAUCAAGAAUACUCUCAGAUGUUUCAGUUACUAAAUAUUUGCACAGUUAUUGUGAUAAAAUGUAAAAUGUUUGUAAAUCCAUGGGUGUUUUUUUUUGUUGUUUUUUUUUUUAGAUUUCUUUGUUUCUUUUUCGUUUGUGGUUUUACCUCUUAAAACAAAAUGUCUUUCUACCGUUGUUACUAGCUGUGUUUUUGCCACAGUAACCCCCCACAUAGCUGCAUUAAUGUAGCCCCCUCUGAUUUUUUUAUUUGACGUUUUCUGGAGAGGAGCCCUAAAAGAAAUAAUUAAUCGGGAGAGGGCUACAUUAUAGCAGCUACCCCCUCCGUCCGUUAAUUGUUAAAGUUGUGUGCCAGGAUUUUUUUCUUUGGCCAAGUUUGAGAGAUACUGUUAAUUAUAUGUUAUUAUGGAACUUUUUUUAGACAUACAAAUUAUGUAUACACUUGUUGGUGUGUUGAUUUGGGACCAUCCCAAUGUUGUUCGUCCAUUUUUACGUUAGCCAUAAGUGCAAAUCUGCCCUGUUGACUUGUUAAGAGCAGUUUUAUAGAAUAGUGACAGUUAUGGGUUUUUUGUCAUGGUAAGCAUAAAUCCAUCCAUUUGGAUAUUUUCCUGUUUGGCUUUUAUUAUUGACUAUACUUUCAAAGUAGAUAUUAAAUCAAAUAUUGCAU